UACGUAGGGUGCAAGCGUUAAUCGGAAUUACUGGGCGUAAAGCGUGCGCAGGCGGUUCGGAAAGAAAGAUGUGAAAUCCCAGGGCUUAACCUUGGAACUGCAUUUUUAACUGCCGAGCUAGAGUAGGUCAGAGGGGGGUAGAAUUCCACGUGUAGCAGUGAAAUGCGUAGAGAUGUGGAGGAAUACCGAUGGCGAAGGCAGCCCCCUGGGAUCAUACUGACGCUCAUGCACGAAAGCGUGGGGAGCAAACAGG
rnacentral:rRNA from 1 species